rnacentral:rRNA from 1 species
GAUGAACGCUGGCGGCGUGCCUAAUACAUGCAAGUCGAGCGAACAGACGAGGAGCUUGCUCCUCUGACGUUAGCGGCGGACGGGUGAGUAACACGUGGAUAACCUACCUAUAAGACUGGGAUAACUUCGGGAAACCGGAGCUAAUACCGGAUAAUAUAUUGAACCGCAUGGUUCAAUAGUGAAAGACGGUUUUGCUGUCACUUAUAGCUGGAUCCGCGCCGCAUUAGCUAGUUGGUAAGGUAACGGCUUACCAAGGCAACGAUGCGUAGCCGACCUGAGAGGGUGAUCGGCCACACUGGAACUGAGACACGGUCCAGACUCCUACGGGAGGCAGCAGUAGGGAAUCUUCCGCAAUGGGCGCAAGCAUGACGGAGCAACGCCGCGUGAGUGAUGAAGGUCUUCGGAUCGUAAAACUCUGUUAUUAGGGAAGAACAAAUGUGUAAGUAACUAUGCACGUCUUGACGGUACCUAAUCAGAAAGCCACGGCUAAGUACGUG